rnacentral:rRNA from 1 species
CCUACGGGGGGCAGCAGUGAGGAAUAUUGGUCAAUGGACGAGAGUCUGAACCAGCCACGUAGCGUGAAGGAUGACUGCCCUAUGGGUUGUAAACUUCUUUUAUAUGGGAAUAAAAUGUUCCACGUGUGGGAUUUUGUAUGUACCAUAUGAAUACGGAUCGGCUAACUCCGUGCCAGCAGCCGCGGUAAUACGGAGGGUCCGAGCGUUAUCCGGAUUUAUUGGGUUUAAAGGGAGCGUAGGUGGAUUGUUAAGUCAGUUGUGAAAGUUUGCGGCUCAACCGUAAAAUUGCAGUUGAAACUGGCAGUCUUGAGUACAGGAGAGGUGGGCGGAAUUCGUGGUGUAGCGGUGAAAUGCUUAGAUAUCACGAAGAACUCCGAUUGCGAAGGCAGUUCACUGGACUGCAACUGACACUGAGGCUCGAAAGUGUGGGUAUCAAACAGGAUUAGAUACCCCUGUAGUC